rnacentral:lncRNA from 1 species
AUGUUGCCGAGCAACGACACACUUUGCAUGCAGCAAAGACGCGACUGCGGACAAUUUCGAAUCCAGUGCAGUAUGAGCCGCAUUUGCAGGACUUUAACAGACAAAGGAAAGACCUUAAAUGUUUUCGACAGGCAGUUAAAAACAACGGAUAAAAAAUGUUGCUCAGUGAACACAUCCACUGCAGACAGCAGAUGUUUCAACCGUCAUAGUACGACAGAUGGGCAGCACAAAAUGAAACGACUGAGGAGCCGUAAGGAGAGGAGUCAGAUGAGAGGUGGUGGGAAAGAAGCCUCAAAGUUCAAACCGCAUCACCAUCACUGCCGUUGCCAAACCAGCACAGACAUAGCUCAUCAUCAUAACUACUGCCACAGUAGCUCUUGUAGUCGUCCAAAUGUCGUCCCUACUUCACAGGAGCCCAGUAUUAUCACAGACAGUCGACUGUUAGGACACCAAGGCUUAUUCAACCACGAAGUGAAAUCUAUCGACAUUGAACGCCUGUUAACAGGUCCUGCAAUGAAGGCCAAUGAUGCCUGCCUGGAGAAAGAGAAGAAAUUCAGUCAGGGAUCAGAUCUUACACCAGGGCAGAGACCACAGCAACAACUUAAUAUUUCAUCUGGAAGUUUUAAAACCAUCAACUCAUCUAAACCGUUGGCUCCCACUGUUAACACAGAAAAAGUGAAUGCCCUAAACAUGAAGGUAGAAGGUCACAUGAUUUCCACUCUGGUACAAACGCCAAAGAACUGUCAGUCUCCUGCCCACCAAGUACGAGCUCAUCAUGUCCACCAAAGCCCAGUUCAGCUCUCCAGCUCCCCCACUGCCGACAGCUUCGACAUACAGCACCGAAGACUCGAUCCGGACAGUGUAUUUAAAUCUGUCAGUGCAGUGGCAGCGAGUUUGUGUGACUGUCUGCAGUUCCCCCUCAUGAGAGGGAGAAGCCUGGUGGCCGAGUGCAGGGAGGUGCUGCUGAAAGCUCUACAGGAGAGGCAUGGACCCCAUCUGAAGGAAAACCUCCUCAAGGUGCAGCGAUCUCUCAGCUUUGGUGGUACUCCCGCAAAGGAGGUCCAGGAUCAGGAGCCAACCAUGGUAGAUGAAGAUGAGCUCUUGCCCACAGAUGCAUUCCCAACAGCAUUUCAAGCAGACAAUGGCAGUCGGCCAUGUUUUGACAAGCACAAAACCACAUCUUUCAAACAGACGAGAAGUAGGCAUUUUAACUGGAAUUCCAGUCCACAGCUACACCACAACAUGAGACAGACUGCUGAAUGGUUGACAAGCCCUGCAGAGACUUCUGUUGACCAGCUGAAUGAUAUCCUCAGACCUUCUCCCUCUCCUCAGUUCUGCAUGGACUCUGAGCCCUCCGGAGUUUCAACCACUGAUCAUUUGUUCGCUCCCUCCUCCACCUCAUGCUGGGGAGGAAAAGCAUCAGCAUCUCAGUGCUGGGAAGAAAGAUUCAACAGGCCAAAGACUAAAGAAACUGUUAUGUUUGGUUCAGUUGAAAACAGCUUUAUGAACCACACCAGAGUAGUUGCAGGGAGCACAGCUUAUCAAGCACAGCUGCAAGAUAGACGUUUAGCAGACCGAGUGUACUUUCCCCCGGACCAAGGCCCAUGUGAAACUGACCAAUGCUGUUUUGGUCCCUCCUUCUCUGCCCAAACUUACCAUCCUCAACAGCUCAACCACUUCCAGCCUUUCAGCCGAUUCAGUCACACUCCAGCUUGCCCUCCACUCAGGUUCCACCACACUGAUAUGAUGCAUUACCCCCCAUCGCACAUGCUUGAAAGAGACCCAGCACCUCCCCUUUCUUUUUUGCCGAGCCCUGAGCACUGGUCCUUCCCUCCUAUGAGACUGUACUAACAUGCAAACAUAUCUUUGGCUAAAAAUACAGUACUCUUAAUUCACAGCAUAAAGACAUUUUCAUCACAGUUAGCAAAGACAUGUGUUAUGUGCCCAUAUUUUAUUGAAAACACUAUACUAAAGUGUAGUUCUGCUAUUUUAAAACUUUGUUUGGAAAUAAUUUUACAUAUUUUGGUGUGGAAAUGUCUAAUAGGUUUUUAAAAAGUUUUGGAAUCGGUUUAUGAGAUCACCUCAGCUGUAACAACAUAGACUUAAUAGCUGCAACAUAUUCUUUGAGGGCGACUUUGACCCUUAAAGUGUGUAAACUAAAAGUGUUUGUUUUUUUCACUGACAGGCUCUAAUUGUUUUUUCUUGGUGUCUACAACAUUAUGGAAAGGAUAUCUUCUGAGAGAUAUUCCUCCUAUAUAGACUAAAGAUAUAUAGACUUUAGUCUAGUCUAUAUGCCUUGUUAUAGACUAAAGUCCUUGUUUGUUUAACGAGGUACAGCUGCUUCAUCAAUCUUGCCAAGUCCACCAGAUUACAUUUGCAGAAACAGUCAUUUUAUUAUCAUCAAACACACUUCAAAUCAGAGUCGACAGAACCAAAAUAAAACUCAAUAUCCAGCAAUUUUGAUUCAUCUUUCCACUUUUCCAACAAUCACUAACUCUG